GGGCCCAUAGUAAAGUGGCAUUACGAAUCCAUGGCAUGGAUUAGUUCGGGGUUCGAUUCCCCGUGGGUCCA
rnacentral:tRNA from 3 species